UUAUAUUUACCGUAUUUUCUGGUGUAUAAGACGACUUUUUAACCCAGGAAAAUCUUCUCAAAAGUCGGGGGUCGUCUUAUACGCCGGGGGUAGUCUUAUACGGCGAGUAUAUCCCAAACUCUAUAUUUUAACUGGAAAAGUUGGGGGUCGUCUUAUACGCCCAGUCGUCUUAUACGCCGGAAAAUACGGUAUAUGUUUUAGU